UGUUAGCAGUUUUCAUCCCCACCAUUCCGAUCUCCCAUCGCCUCUAUCCUCCAUCACUUUAAAACGCAGAUCCGGACGCCCCUCAAUCUCCUCCAAACCAAUCACGCGUAGUAACCAAUCACGCGUAGUUGUGUGCAGCCGGCCUAACCCUAAUUGAUGACCUUUCGAUGAUGCAGCAGUUCCGGCGGCUAUCUUCUUCGAGUUGUCAUUCACCGGAGGCACGUAGCUGACUUUCGUGCUGAUCCGGCUGCCGGCAAAGGAACGCAUCAGCCUUCAUCAACGAGGUUUGUAUCCGCGAGUGGCUACUGCGUCCACGGCGUCCAGUUCAUUCUGCUGGUAUAUGGAACAGAGGAGAUGCACAAAAUUGAACCUGAAUGGUGUGUCAAGGUCUCAAGGACGAGUCGACACUUAUGUCUGGCGGCCGUUGUCCACCACAUAAGCGAGCUAAGCACUUCAUCAGGGAAGAGCUAGGAAGUAGGAACCGGUGAAGGACCAGAAGAUCAGCAAGGGCUUGCUAUAUUUCAGUACAAGCUAUGAACAUAUCUGAAGGCAGAUUAUUAAAAGGGAUAUAUAUAGGAGUGGUUAUAUUGUCAUAUGUUGAAUCAGUAUUGUAACCUGGGUGUACUCCGUGAAUAAGUCAAUUGUAUUUUGCUUGUGAAUCAAAUGAUAUAAAUUGAAUUGUUUCUUC